AUUUUAUUGAUGAACACAUUAAAACCAAGCAAGUUUACAUUGUCAAAGAGUUUCAAGUUUUAAUGAGGAAGUAUCAAGAAUUGCUCUUGAGCCAAGCCCAAAGAAAAAUACACGAAAGUUAUCACCAGGGCUGUGGAGUCCGAGUUGCGGAGUUGAGAUAUUUUCAGCGGAGUCGGAGUCGCUAAACAAAUUCGCAACUCCAACUCCAAUAGUAAAACUUCUCGGUAUUGUGCGUGCAUGUGCAAAACAUUCAAUUAACCUUAUGUUCAUACUAAACCUCAAAGAACGUUUCAUAAAUUUGUCAAAAAAGAAAUUUUUAACUUAUCCCGUAAUAUUUUUUUAAGAAUUUGAAAAAUUUUUCAAAAAUAUUGCUUUGGAGUUGUAAUCGAAGUUGGAGUUAGAGUCGGAGUUGUGCUCAAAAAAUUUCAACAACUGGAGUCGGAGUUGGAGUUGUACUCAAAAAGUUUUAAUAACUGGAGUCGGAGUCGAAUCUUUUUUUUACAACUCCACACCCCUGGUUAUCAGUAACGGUUUGACAUAAACCUGAAUAUUAGUUGUUGUUUACUUGUCAAAAUUAAAUAGGAAUUUUUGUAAAACUUAAUUGUUUAAUUUAUUUUCAGCGGGUUUACCUAUAACUUGAGUGGAUUAUUUUUUAAAGUUGUUAUUUCAUUGUUUUGCUAUUUGGUUUUAUGAGCUAAAUAUGUUAAUCAAUCAUUUUAUUCUUGUUUAUAUUGAUGCGAAAUGAUAUUCUUAAGGAGCUUGCAGAAAUAAAAGUUCUUUAAAAAAAGGUUAUAGAAAUUAAGUUUCAGGCUACUGGGGUGAAGUUGCUAGAAUCAGUGGACGAAGUGGUUACACUGGAUAAUAAACUAAAAGAUAAAACCGAGUAUACUAAUUUGCUUGAUAGUUUGAAAACGAUUGAUGGCGGAAAGCCAUGAGAACAUGUUUUUUUGAUCAUGAAAAGGUUAUUUUCGAAUCAGUUACAGUCCAAAUUAAAUCGAAAAGGAAAUGGGAAAAAGAUAAGCUUAGAAAAUCUUGUAAGUAUAUGGAGUGUUUUACAAG